rnacentral:snRNA from 1 species
GAGGCAAUGUUUGUGAUCGA